ACGGCCUUUGUCUAGUCGUGGUGCACUGGUUAGAACGAGAAAACCCCCAAUAAGCUGAAUGGAUCCACCGAGGUGGUUCGAUCCUGCGACGCAAGCACCGUAACCGACUGAGCUAAAUCCUGCCCCUAAUCGAGAGUAGAUACUAACUGCCAGCAAUGGUUUGGAUAAUAUGUCAAACGUUUUAUUGAGAUCUGCGAAUUAUACUUCCUCUUUUGACAACGUCGACACUUCUUCCUAUUCAUUUCCCACAAAUGUUCACCAGAUAAUGAUUUCCUGUUAGCAGCUAUCAAAAAUGUUCACCUAUGUAUGCCUACGUGGAGCCAGAUGGCAACCGAAUACGAGUAAAUAUAGGUAGCUUGUCAAGACCGAUGACUUAAAUGGAAAUGCCUGACCAAGACUGUUUCUCUGCAUAUAAAUAAAUCGUAUUAUACUAAGCUAUCAAUAUUAUAAUUUUUUACAAGGUCAACCCAGAAUAGGUUAUUGUUAGAUGCGUCUCCUACAAAUCACCGGAAAUUACUGCAGUAUGACUUUGCUUAAUAAUAAGGAUAGAUAAUGUGUCAGGUCCAAUAUAUAUAUAUAUAUAUAUAUAUAUCUAUAUAUAUAUAUGUAUAUAGCCACACAAACACACACAUAUAUAUAUAUACAUUUGUAUUAAAGUCAUUAACCAUACCCAACAUUAAGGUAUUGUUUAAUAUAAUUGGUUAUUAAAAUACCCUCUGCUCUUAA